GACGAACGCUGGCGGCGUGCCUAAUACAUGCAAGUUGAGCGCUGAAGGUUGGUACUUGUACCGACUGGAUGAGCAGCGAACGGGUGAGUAACGCGUGGGGAAUCUGCCUUUGAGCGGGGGACGACAUUUGGAAACGAAUGCUAAUACCGCAUAAAAACUUUAAACACAAGUUUUAAGUUUGAAAGAUGCAAUUGCAUCACUCAAAGAUGAUCCCGCGUUGUAUUAGCUAGUUGGUGAGGUAAAGGCUCACCAAGGCGAUGAUACAUAGCCGACCUGAGAGGGUGAUCGGCCACAUUGGGACUGAGACACGGCCCAAACUCCUACGGGAGGCAGCAGUAGGGAAUCUUCGGCAAUGGACGAAAGUCUGACCGAGCAACGCCGCGUGAGUGAAGAAGGUUGUCGGAUCGUAAAACUCUGUUGGUAGAGAAGAACGUUGGUGAGAGUGGAAAGCUCAUCAAGUGACGGUAACUACCCAGAAAGGGACGGCUAACUACGUG
rnacentral:rRNA from 1 species